GCCUUCGUGGUGUAGUGGUCAGCCCGCUGGAUGCGUAUUCCAGACGACCGUGGUUCGAGUCCCGGCGAAAGCG
rnacentral:tRNA from 1 species